AGAGUUUGAUCCUGGCUCAGGACGAACGCUGGCGGCGUGCUUAACACAUGCAAGUCGAACGGUAAGGCCCUUCGGGGUACACGAGUGGCGAACGGGUGAGUAACACGUGGGUAAUCUGCCCUGCACAUCGGGAUAAGCCUGGGAAACUGGGUCUAAUACCGAAUAGGACCACAGAACACAUGUCCUGUGGUGGAAAGCUUUUGCGGUGUGGGGUGGGCCCGCGGCCUAUCAGCUUGUUGGUGGGGUGAUGGCCCACCAAGGCGACGACGGGUAGCCGGCCUGAGAGGGUGUCCGGCCACACUGGGACUGAGAUACGGCCCAGACUCCUACGGGAGGCAGCAGAAGGG
rnacentral:rRNA from 1 species